rnacentral:tRNA from 1 species
GCAGCGUAGCUCAGGUGGACAGAGCACCCUGUUUUCGACGGUUCGAUGUGGUCUUGCCGGACGCCAUCACCGGACAGGGAGGUCGCAGGUUCGAAUCCUGCCGCUGCGCCA